AUCUAAUAGUUGGGCGUCAUCUCGCAGUUUCUACAAAGAGUUACAUGCCUGAAUAAUACUCCGUCACACUCCCAUCGGUCGCCGGCGGCGCUGCCUGCACAACGACUCCGUCCCCGUUGCCGCCGUCGCAUCGUCACCGCGGCCACGAACCCAUGGGGAGGGAGCAGAGCGAAUCCACAACACGGCCGCCAGUUUCGAUGCCGUAAGCUCACGGAUUUUACUAAUUGUUUCAGAUUGAUGCUUUUGAUCUCCAUAGGCUUUGGAGCUUUUGCCCAGAUGCAUGCUGCCGUUCUCAUAUCUCUAACUUGCCUCCGCACAGUAGCAAUCUGUAUUAUUAGUGACUGUCUUAAAAAUAGCAGUUCAUGCAUCAUCUUGAAAAUAGCCAAUCUCAAAAUCAUGGCCUGUCUAAUUAUAUAUGCAGACGCAAAGAACUGCAUUGAUUUUAUCUGAAAAUGAAACGAAAGACAAACAUAUUGACAUAACUACUCCGUCGGCCUGCAGUAAUGUCUUUUCACUUCCUCUGCUGAAACUACACUUUGUUCAUAAAAAAUUGUACUACUAAUUUUGUUUUCUGGUAUUUCGACUUCAUUAAAUUAGUCUUCUGGUAGCAGGUGAGACUGAACUGUAGAGUGCUCUUGGAAUAUCAGCAUCGUCCAAGCAUUAUUUGUGGAAUUCAGGCGAUAAUCUGUAAAAUAAAGAAAAUAGGCGCACAAGUGAGUACUUGAACCUUUUUUUAGGGUUUUGCUUUUGUUUGAACUUUGAACAAACUGCAUUCAGUAGGCAGGCAAUGCAUAUGUACAAAGAGGCACGCUAACUUCUAAUAGCCGAGACUUGGCAUAUUUCCAUGGAUAUUUUGUGAAAGAUAUUACCGGCAAGGCGACACUAUAUAAUUAUCACUCUGGAGUUUGCUGUUUUGGAAUCUAAUGCAACCAUAUUUUGUGACGUUGACUAGAAAUGCUUGCUACUAUGCAUGCUAGAAUGGUGCAUGUGCAAACUUUUUCGUAUCACAGCUGAAGUCUUAGGUUUAAUUCUCCGAACUGAUUUGGCAUGACGAUGGUACAUGAUUGAUCUGUGAAAACUUCAUGUGAGCAGGGAACUUUAGUACUCCCUCCGUCCGGAAAUACUUGUCCUAAAAAUGCA
rnacentral:lncRNA from 1 species